AUACGGAGGGUCCGAGCGUUAUCCGGAUUUAUUGGGUUUAAAGGGUGCGCAGGCGGCCAUUUAAGUCAGCGGUUAAAUCGUGGGGCUCAACCCCAUUCUGCCGUUGAUACUGGGUGGCUUGAUUGCGGUCGAGGUUGGCGGAAUUCGUUGUGUAGCGGUGAAAUGCAUAGAUAUGACGAAGAACACCGAUUGCGUAGGCAGCUGACCAGACCGCAAAUGACGCUCAUGCACGAAAGUGCGGGGAUCGAACAGGAUUAGAUACCCUGGUAGUCCGCACAGUAAACGAUGAAUACUUGUUUUCGGCGAUAUAAUGUCGGAGGCAAAGCGAAAGCGAUAAGUAUUCCACCUGGGGAGUACGCCGGCAACGGUGAAACUCAAAGGAAUUGACGGGG
rnacentral:rRNA from 1 species